rnacentral:lncRNA from 1 species
GGGGUCUCGAUUACGGGAUCGAGACACCGCCUCGACGAGCUCGAGGACCCCCAUCAUUAAUCCGCCGCGAAGCAAUCUCGGCAAUUCAAGAGACGCCACCCCCGCUUCAAGAAGCGUAAUGAUACGAGCUUCAUCAUAAGCUCGCUGAAUAAAGCAGCCUCGAGACGCCAAAGGGCGCAGGUUUCACCAUGAAAACUCCGAGAAGCGUAAGGGCGCGGACGAGAUUCGCCCCUCCCCAACUUUAAUGAUAGACUUUACUUCCCACGUCCGAGCCCACAAGCUGCUCGAACUCGG